CAAUGCCUUGCUCGUACGGCGAGUGAGCGGCAAAGCUCAAAUUUGAAAUCUAGCACCUUCGGUGUUCGAGUUGUAAUUUGAAGAUGGUAACCUUGGGUUUGGCUCUUGUCUAUGUUCCUUGGAACAGGACGUCAUAGAGGGUGAGAAUCCCGUCUGAUGAGAUGCCCAUUCCUAUGUAAGGUGCUAUCGAAGAGUCGAGUUGUUUGGGAAUGCAGCUCUAAGUGGGUGGUAAAUUCCAUCUAAAGCUAAAUAUUGGCGAGAGACCGAUAGCGAACAAGUACAGUGAUGGAAAGAUGAAAAGAACUUUGAAAAGAGAGUGAAAAAGUACGUGAAAUUGUUGAAAGGGAAGGGCAUUAGAUCAGACUUGGUGUUUUACGAUUAUCUUCUCUUCUUGAGUUGUGCACUCGUAUUUCACUGGGCCAGCAUCGAUUCGGAUGGCAAGAUAAUGGCAGUUGAAUGUGGCUUCACUUCGGUGGAGUGUUAUAGCUUCUGCUGAUAUUGCCUGUCUGGAUCGAGGGCUGCGUCUUUUGACUAGGAUGCUGGCGUAAUGAUCUAAUGCCGCCCGUCUUGAAA
rnacentral:rRNA from 1 species